rnacentral:rRNA from 1 species
GACGAACGCUGGCGGCGUGCUUAACACAUGCAAGUCGAACGGAAAGACCCUGCUUUUGUGGGGUGCUCGAGUGGCGAACGGGUGAGUAACACGUGAGUAUCCUGCCCUUGACUUUGGGAUAACUUCAGGAAACUGGGGCUAAUACCGGAUAGGAGCUCCUGCUGCAUGGUGGGGGUUGGAAAGUUUCGGCGGUUGGGGAUGGACUCGCGGCUUAUCAGCUUGUUGGUGGGGUAGUGGCUUACCAAGGCUUUGACGGGUAGCCGGCCUGAGAGGGUGACCGGCCACAUUGGGACUGAGAUACGGCCCAGACUCCUACGGGAGGCAGCAGUGGGGAAUAUUGCACAAUGGGCGGAAGCCUGAUGCAGCAACGCCGCGUGCGGGAUGACGGCCUUCGGGUUGUAAACCGCUUUCGCCUGUGACGAAGCGUGAGUGACGGUAAUGGGUAAAGAAGCACCGGCUAACUACGUG